rnacentral:rRNA from 1 species
UACGUAGGGUGCUAACGUUGUUCGGAAUCACUGGGCAUAAAGAGCGCGUAGGCGGUCUGAUAAGUCAUGCGUGAAAUCCCCGGGCUCAACCCGGGAACUGCGUCUGAUACUGGAAGGCUUGAAUCCGGGAGAGGGAUGUGGAAUUCCAGGUGUAGCGGUGAAAUGCGUAGAUAUCUGGAGGAACACCGGUGGCGAAGGCGGCAUCCUGGACCGGCAUUGACGCUGAGGCGCGAAAGCCAGGGGAGCAAACGGG